rnacentral:rRNA from 1 species
CCUACGGGCGGCAGCAGUGGGGAAUAUUGGACAAUGGGGGAAACCCUUAUCCAGCGACGCCGCGUGAGGGAAGAAGGUUUUCGGAUUGUAAAGCUCUGUCAGCAGGGAAGAAAGAAAUGACGGUACCUGACCAAGAAGCCCCGGCUAACUACGUGCCAGCAGCCGCGGGAAUACGUAGGGGGCAAGCGUUAACCGGAAUUACUGGGUGUAAAGGGAGCGUAGACGGUGAUGCAAGUCUGGAGGGAAAGGCGGGGGCCCAACCCCCGGACUGCUCUGGAAACUGUGUAACUAGAGUGCAGGAGAGGUAAGCGGAAUUCCUAGUGUAGCGGUGAAAUGCGUAGAUAUUAGGAGGAACACCAGUGGCGAAGGCGGCUUACUGGACUGUAACUGACGUUGAGGCUCGAAAGCGUGGGGAGCAAACAGGAUUAGAUACCCGGGUAGUC